rnacentral:lncRNA from 1 species
AGAAGAGAAUUGGUGAGAGGACUACCUCAUCUGGAAUUCAAUAUGGAUGAAGAUUAUGAGGUAUGUCAAUAGGGAAGUCGAAGGAGCAUCGCACAGAAGCAAAGAUAUGAUUAACAUUAUUGAUCCGCUUCAGAUGAUACGUAUGGAUUUCUACGGAUCAGUUAAUGUCAUGUCUGCAAACAAAGCCAGAUAUCUUUUUGCGAUGAUCAUUGACUACUCUAGAUUCUUUCGUGUUGGUCGUAUGUGUUCGAAGGACAAGACGUCACAAAUGAAGGUUGAUCAAGAUGAACCCUGAUCAUUGAUAAAUCCAGAAAGACACCAUUCUUGUCAGUGGCCAAUCAGAAGCAAACACUAACUCUUGGUAUGUGUUUGGAGGAAAAUGCCUCUUUGCAAGUCUUGCAUUUGAAGAUCAAAGAAUAUUUUCCUCGGCUACUCUAUGGAGUCUACAAUCUACAGGGUGAUUGUGAUUGAUCAAUAGAAGGUGAUUGUAAGUCUAAACGGGAUGUUGAACGACACUUUGCUCCAAGCUGUUUAAGGUGAUAUUAUUGGUAUAAUAAUGAUUCAGAUCCAAGCAGAAUCUCUUUGCAAGGAUAAGGAUUAUUAAAGAAAUCCCAGCAACAGCUUAGGGGGAGCAUUUGGUGGAUCCACUAGUCAA